GUGGGUAGUUUGACUGGGGCGGUCUCCUCCCAAAGCGUAACGGAGGAGCACGAAGGUUAGCUAAUCCUGGUCGGACAUCAGGAGGUUAGUGCAAUGGCAUAAGCUAGCUUGACUGCGAGCGUGACGGCGCGAGCAGGUGCGAAAGCAGGUCAUAGUGAUCCGGUGGUUCUGAAUGGAAGGGCCAUCGCUCAACGGAUAAAAGGUACUCCGGGGAUAACAGGCUGAUACCGCCCAAGAGUUCAUAUCGACGGCGGUGUUUGGCACCUCGAUGUCGGCUCAUCACAUCCUGGGGCUGAAGUAGGUCCCAAGGGUAUGGCUGUUCGCCAUUUAAAGUGGUACGCGAGCUGGGUUUAGAACGUCGUGAGACAGUUCGGUCCCUAUCUGCCGUGGGCGCUGGAGAAUUGAGGGGGGCUGCUCCUAGUACGAGAGGACCGGAGUGGACGCAUCACUGGUGUUCGGGUUGUCAUGCCAAUGGCACUGCCCGGUAGCUAAAUGCGGAAGAG
rnacentral:rRNA from 1 species